rnacentral:rRNA from 1 species
GAUGAACGCUGGCGGCGUGCUUAAUACAUGCAAGUCGAACGAGCCGAAAGAAAGCGCAAGCUGGAUAGAGGUUAGUGGCAGACGGGUGAGUAACACGUGGGUGACCUGCCCCGAAGUGGGGAAUAACUGAUCGAAAGGUCAGCUAAUUCCGCAUGGGGUCUAUCCUUCGGUGGGUAGAUCAAAGGCGAGAGUCGCUUUGGGAGGGGUCCGCGGCCCAUCAGCUAGUUGGUAAGGUAACGGCUUACCAAGGCAAGGACGGGUAGCUGGUCUGAGAGGAUGAUCAGCCACAUUGGCACUGAGACACGGGCCAAACUCCUACGGGAGGCAGCAGUAAGGAAUAUUGCACAAUGGGGGGAACCCUGAUGCAGCAACGCCGCGUGGGCGACGAAGGCCUCGGUCGUAAAGCCCUUUUCUGGGGAAGAGGCAGGACGGUACCGUCAGGAAUAAGUACUCGGCUAACUACGUG